rfam:Bacteroides faecichinchillae strain DSM 26883 genome assembly, contig: Ga0131157_106
GUUGUGAUUUGCUUUCAAAUUAGUAUCUUUACAUCGUUAGAAACAAC